UACGUAGGGGGCAAGCGUUAUCCGGAUUUACUGGGUGUAAAGGGAGCGUAGACGGCGAAGAAAGUCUGAAGUGAAAGCCCGCGGCUCAACCGCGGAAUGGCUUUGGAAACUUUUUUGCUGGAGUACCGGAGAGGUAAGCGGAAUUCCUAGUGUAGCGGUGAAAUGCGUAGAUAUUAGGAGGAACACCAGUGGCGAAGGCGGCUUACUGGACGGUAACUGACGUUGAGGCUCGAAAGUGUGGGUAUCAAACAGG
rnacentral:rRNA from 1 species